GACGAACGCUGGCGGCGUGCCUAAUACAUGCAAGUAGAACGCUGAAGGAGGAGCUUGCUUCUCUGGAUGAGUUGCGAACGGGUGAGUAACGCGUAGGUAACCUGCCUGGUAGCGGGGGAUAACUAUUGGAAACGAUAGCUAAUACCGCAUAAGAGUAGAUGUCGCAUGACAUUUGCUUAAAAGGUGAAAUUGUAUCACUACUAGAUGGACCUGCGUUGUAUUAGCUAGUUGGUGAGGUAACGGCGCACCAAGGCAACGAUACCUACCCGACCUGAGAGGGGGAUCGGCCACACUGGGACUGAGACACGGCCCAGACUCCUACGGGAGGCAGCAGUAGGGAAUCUUCGGCAAUGGACGGAAGUCUGACCGAGCAACGCCGCGUGAGUGAAGAAGGUUUUCGGAUCGUAAAGCUCUGUUGUAAGAGAAGAACGAGUGUGAGAGUGGAAAGUUCACACUGUGACGGUAUCUUACCAGAAAGGGACGGCUAACUACGUG
rnacentral:rRNA from 1 species